UGAUGAUAUCAACAAAUUUCUCUGGAUGGUUAGGAUAGCUGAAGGAGAACAUCCCAAAGACAUUCGGGAAAGUGACUAUUUUACCCCACAGGGAGAAUUCCGUGUAGACAAAGCAGGAUCCCCUACUUUGUUGAAUUGCCUUAUGUAUAAAAUGUCAUACUACAGAUUUGGAGAAAUGCAGCUGGAUUUUCGUACACCCCCAGGUUUUGACCGAACACGUAAUGCUGAGAUUGGAAAUAAGGACAUUAAAUUCAAACAUUUGGAAGAAGCCUUUACAUCAGAACACUGGCUUGUUAGGAUAUAUAAAGUAAAAGCACCUGAUAACAGGGAGACAUUAGAUCACAAACCUCGAGUCACCAACAUUUUCCCAAAACAGAAGUAUUUGUCAAAGAAGGUGGGUGCCAAGUGAAGGCAUUAAAGGGUAACUUAAGACUACCAAAAGGAAGCGUGGCUACAUUAAAAAUAAGCUGGUUUUUAAGAAAGGCAAGAAAAUAUCUAAGAAGACUGUUUAAAUGCACUGUUCUGGUUCCUAACUUGAAGCAGUUGUCCUUGUGAGAACCGGUCUUUGCCUUUAGCUCAUGUCGUGUUUCACAGCAAAGAGGGUACAGAACCAUCACUGGUCCAGGUUAAUGUACAAAAUUUUCUGGCAAUGCCUGAUUAAAAAAAUAAAAUUGGCUUGUUGAGAACAGCUGUUUUCGAUUUCUAAUGUGAAGCAAGACAGAGCACUGCUGUAAAUGUCUAGCAGCAGAUUUUUUUUUUAUUGGUACAUAUUAUCCUUCAAAUCUGAGAAUUUGGACUAACUGCACCAAAGAACCCUCUAAUUUGGUCCCUGGCACAUGCAUACUUGUCAAUGUUUUUAUUCUUUUACAAGACCUGCAUUUUAUUUGAAUUACCCGAAUAGCAAUAUGUAAA
rnacentral:sRNA from 1 species